rnacentral:rRNA from 1 species
UACGUAGGUGGCAAGCGUUGUCCGGAAUCAUUGGGCGUAAAGCGCGCGCAGGCGGUCCUUUAAGUCUGAUGUGAAAUCUUGCGGCUCAACCGUAAGCGGUCAUUGGAAACUGGGGGACUUGAGUGCAGGAGAGGAAAGCGGAAUUCCAUGUGUAGCGGUGAAAUGCGUAGAGAUAUGGAGGAACACCAGUGGCGAAGGCGGCUUUCUGGCCUGUAACUGACGCUGAGGCGCGAAAGCGUGGGGAGCAAACAGGAUUAGAAACCCCCGUAGUCC